rnacentral:rRNA from 1 species
UACGGAGGGAACUAGCGUUGUUCGGAAUUACUGGGCGUAAAGCGCGCGUAGGCGGCUAGAUCAGUCUGCUGUAAAAGUCAAAGGCUCAACCUUUGAAAGCCGGUGGAUACUGUCUAGCUAGAGUCCGGAAGAGGCGAGUGGAAUUCCUGGUGUAGCGGUGGAAUGCGCAGAUAUCAGGAGGAACACCAACGGCGAAGGCAGCUCGCUGGGACGGUACUGACGCUAAGGCGCGAAAGCGUGGGGAGCGAACAGG